UACGGAGGCCUCGAGCGUUGUUCGGAAUCACUGGGCUUAAAGCGCGUGUAGGCGGAGUGGCAAGUACCUUGUGAAAUCCCCGGCUUCAAUCCGGGAACUGCUUGGUAUACUGUCAUUCUUGAGGCAGGUAGGGGUCACUGGAACCUUAGGUGGAGCGGUGAAAUGCGUAGAUAUCUAAGGGAACGCCUGUGGCGAAAGCGGGUGACUGGGCCUGACCUGACGCUGAGACGCGAAAGCGUAGGGAGCAAACGGGAUUAGAUACC
rnacentral:rRNA from 1 species